AAACAUCGAUAGUAAACUACCCCUACUAUCCGCCCGGGGACUACGAGCAUCAGCUUAAAACCCAAAGGACUUGGCGGUGCUUUAGAUCCACCUAGAGGAGCCUGUUCUAGAACCGAUUACCCCCGUUCAACCUCACCUUUCCUUGUUUCUCCCGCCUAUAUACCACCGUCGUCAGCUUACCCUGUGAAGGGCUGAUAGUAAGCAAGAUUGGCAUAGCCCAAAACGUCAGGUCGAGGUGUAGCGUAUGGAAAGGGAAGAAAUGGGCUACAUUCCCUAACAUAGUGAAAUACGAACGAUGCACUGAAAUACGCAUCUGAAGGAGGAUUUAGCAGUAAGCAGAAAAUAGAGCGU
rnacentral:rRNA from 1 species